rnacentral:lncRNA from 1 species
UCCCCUUCCUCGGGCGCGGCUCGCUACAGUUCAUGUGGGGCCGGCUCCCGGUAGCCCGCGCUCCCGUGGUGGGCGGCCGGGUUCGGAGAACUAGUUGCGGCCUGCCGCUGCGCCAGCCCUGUCGGAGGGUCCCGUUAGGGUUCCGUGAGUGUGGUUCCCUCGGGCUCCUAGGCCUCGGCUGCAGUCCAGGCCUCGCGCCCGAGCGCUGAGGGCGGCCGCCCCGCGCUGCCGGGAGUCGGUCGCCGAGAAGGUACGGUAGGAUGGAGUUUUACGCUUCCCUUUAAGGGGGGUGGGGAGAGAGUACGGCUCCGGUGCCGGCAGCGCACAUGUCGAGUCCCGUCUACAGCUGGCGUCGCUGACCGCGAGGAAGUGUCGUGCUGGCACCACGGACUCCCUCGGGCGUCUCUGCCAGGUGUCUGGCGCAGCGGCGCGCUGGGCGGCGCUCAGCAACCUGACGCCGAAUCUGUGCUGCACUCACUUGUUCAAUAGCUUAUUAAGAUCUCAAUAAAAAUUAAAGGUUCUGGAGGGUUACUAAGAAUUUAACCCAGCGGCGCUUUGCCACCGAGACUUUUCUAUUUUUUAUUUUAAGACGGUCUAAAUUGUGAGGUUGUCCUCGAACUCGGGCGUGCUCCUGGUUCAGUCUCUGGAAUGGCUGGGAUUACCUGCGCCACCGCUCCCCGCAGUGAUUGACUUUGUCCAAAAGGCUCCAGUGGAAUCUGGCACUGUUUGCUACGAGACCCCGUGAGCAUAGUUAUUUGUGUAUACUAUAGAUAGGCAAGGACAGGCGCACGCUCAGGUAAGGUUAAACCACCACCGUUUUGUACUUAGUUUCUUGGCAUGUUGCACUAAAAUAAUAACUCUUGAGGAGUAAACGCCCUCAUAGAAUUCAAGGGGAAAAAACAUUUGUCACACCAGGUAAAAACUAUUACUGAAAAUUCAGGUCUUAUCCAGGGAAUACCAAAAAAGUGAGAGGAGGAGGACACCGUGCUGUGCGCCUGUAGUCCCAGCUACUCCAAGGCUGAGGGGGAGGAUUUGGAAGCCAGCCUGCCAACACAGCGCAAAAUAGUAAAAAUUUGCCUGGCGCUGCGGUGCAGGCCUGUAAUCCCAAUUAUUCAGGGAGGGAGGCAGAAAUGUUGCAAAUUUGAUGGUAGCCUGGACAAUUUAGCCAGACCCUAUCUGAAAAUACUAAAGAGGGCAGUAGUUUGGGGCUGAGAUUGUGGCUCAGUGGUAGAGCCUUGCCUUGCACUUGUGAGGCACUGGGUUGGAUGCUCAGCACCACAUAAGAAUAAAUAAAUAAGGUAUUGUGUCCAACUACAACUUAAAAGUGGGGGUUACUAGGGCUCAGUAGUAAAAUGCCCUUGGUUUAAUCGCCAGAACAAGAAAAAGAAAGGGGGAGAAAAGGGAGGAAGGAAGGAGACCAAGAGGAUGAGGGGAAAAGGAGAGUUACUCACUUUAGGCUAUAUUUAUCACUGUCAUUCAGAUUCAGAGAUUAAUUAUGCAUUAAGAUACUUAAAAAUUUUUUUUGAUGGACCUUUAUUUUAUUUAUUUAUAUGUGAUGCUGAGAAUUGAACCCAGUGUCUCAAACAGGCACUUUACUACUGAGCUACAACCCAGUCCCUUAAAAAUAUAUUUAAAAUUUUGAUGGUAAUGUUUGGGCUGUAGUGACCUUACAGAGAUAAAUAGACACAGCUAAGUGUCCUUAGGAGCUGCAUUUGAAAUCUUUACUGACUCAGCCAUGUGAAGCAACCAAUCUCUCAGAUUUAUCUAGUUGACCAGGCUUAUUCUCUUAUUACAACAUGACUCAGUACUUCCUUGCUUGAAAACAAAAUUUGGAAAACAUCACAUACUAUACUGUCCUUAAUACAACACUUCUACUUUAUACUUCAUCAUUGCAUAUAUUAAAAGUUACACACCAGCCAGGCAUAGUGGCACACACCUAUUAAGCCAGCUACUUGGGAGACUGAGGCAGGAGUAUCGAAAGUUCAAGGCCAGCCUCUGCAACUUAAUGAGCUCUGUCUCAAAAUUUAAGAAGGGGGAGAGCUGGAGAAAGCAUACCUGGGUUCAAUCCUCAGUACCACUAAAAAUAAAUAAAUAAAGCCUAACACACCAUUGAAAUUAUUAUGAUGUUUUUAAAUAAAAAUUGAACUUCGGGCUGAGGAUAUAGCUCAGUUGGUAGAGUGCUUGCCUCACAUACACUAGGCCCUGGGUUUAAUCCCUAGCACCACAAAAAAAUAAAUAAAUAAAUUCUAUGAUCUUUAUUAAGUCGAUGCAACUCUUAAUGCCAGUGGAGCAUCCUAAUUAGAAAUUCAAAAAUCCAAAACUGAGUACCUUCUGACACUCUAAGUGGAAAAUUCCACACUUUAACUUAAUGUGAUGAGUCACAGCAAAAAUAACAAGUACACUAGGCCUGGUGCAGUGGUGCACACCUGUAAUUCCAGCAGCUCAGGAGGCUAAGACAGGAGGAUUGUGAGUUCAAAGUCAGCCUCAGAAAAAGCAAGGUACUAAGUGACUCAGCAAGACCCUGACUCUAAAUAAAAUACAAAAUAGGGCUGGGGAUGUGGCUUAGUAGUUGAGUGCCCUUGAGUUCAAUCCCUGGUACCCCCCGCCCCCCCCCCAAAAAAAAAAUAAGUGCACUAAAAAUACUACAUAAAAUUGCUUCAGGAUAUAUAUGAGGUGUAUAUGAAACAAAUGAGUUAUGUGUUUACACUUAAGUCCCAUCCCCCAAGGUAUCGUCCUUUAUGUAUUCAUAUAUAGCUGGUGGGAGUGAAAAACAGUACAGCCAGGGCUGGGGUUGUGGCUCAGUGGUAGAGUGCUCGCCUUGCAUGUGCGAGACCCUGGGUUCGAUCCUCAGCACCACAUAAAAAGAAAUAAAGGUAUUGUGUCCAACUACAAACUAAAAAAUAAAUAUUAAAAAAAAAAAACAAACAUUACAGCCACCUUUGGAAAAAAUCCUGGAGUUCCUCAAAAGUUUAAACAUAGUUACCAUAUGACCCAACAGUAAGACUCCUAGGUGUAUUAUCCAAGAGAAAUUGAAAUGUGUCCAUACAAAACAAAACCUUGUAGCAUGUUCACAGCACCAUCAAAUAAUAAUAGCCCCAAAGUGGAAACAGACAAAAUGUCCAUCAACUGAUGAGUGGGUAAACAAAUGAGGCACAUCAAUACAGUGGAAUAUUAUUCAGUCAUGGUAGAAGUGUAAAGGCAGAAAAUAGUGGUUCCCCUGGGAUGAUGGAGAAGUGACAUGAUUUCUGGGUUUCUUUUGGGGGUGGUAGUUGCACAAUUCUGAAUAUGCUAAAAACCACAGAAUUGUAGUCUCAUAGGCAACUUAUAUGUGCCAGGUGUGGUGGCAGACCCCUGUAAUCCCAGUGGUUUAGAGGUUGAAGUAGCAGGAUUGCAAGUUCAAAGCCAGUCUUGGCAAUUUAGCAAGGCCCUAAGGAACUUAGGAGGACCCUUUCUCAAAAAGGGCCUGGGAAUGUGGCUCAGUGGCAAAGUACCCAUAGGUUUAAUACCCAGUAGUGUACACAAAUGGAAAACUGAUGCUUGCUGUAUGAAAGAAAAAAAUUUACUCAUAUAAUUAAAAGUACUCUCAGUUACUCUCUGGAGAGCCUCAUCAAUAUUGUUGGCUGCUGAGAAGUGACCAACGAUAAGAGUGACUUCUAGCAAUAGGUUGCUGAAAAGUUGUACUUGGGGGCUUUGUUAAUUUAUAAUACAUUGUAAGGGUGAGUAGCUCAGUGACAGAGCAUUUGCUCAAUAUAAUCAAUCCCCAGCACCCCAAAGAGAUUCUUUUUAAAUUUUUUUUUCAUUGUAGAAGUUACUGUUUGGGAAAACAAAAACAGUAAUUCCUACAAUAUAGUAUUCCCAUAUUCUGAUUAUUUUAUAACAUUAAAAAGGUCUACUCUGGACUGGGCACUAUGGUGCACGCCUAUAAUCUCAGCGGCUCUGGAGGCUAAGACAGGAGGAUUUCAAAUUCAAAGCCAGCCUCAGCACUAAGCAACUCAGUGAAAUCUUGUCUCUAAAUAAAAAUACAAAAUAGGGCUGGGGAUGUGGCUCAGUGGUUGAGUGCCCCUGAGUUGUACUAAAUUAAAUUCCUAGUACCAAAAAAAAAAGGCGGGGAGGAGUUUACUCUGGGAUGGAAUCAAGGAUAUUCUCUUAAAGAUUCUUAGAGAAUCCUUCUAUUCUCUACCCAAUAUAACUCAGAGUUUAAUUUUUUCCUUUAGAGUAAUAAUCCCCUCGUAUAUCCCUCUUCCUCAUAUUUUGUCUUCCCCCCUUCUUUCUCUCCCUGGAGUUUCCCUUUCCACAUCCUCUCUCAAUUAGCUGCAAUGCAUUAUUUCUCAUGUCACACCUGGGCUUUUGUGUCUGUGCAUGAUUGAUAUUCUCUAUCCAUCAGAGGGGACAGAAUGCUGCUCAUCCUUGCAGACCUAACUCCAAGAAACUCCAGUACUUGGGCUCUUUACUGUGCUUGUCCAUCCCUCGGGUUUAGAAAGCUGUCUUCUCAGGAGGCUUUCCCUGACACCCCAACUCUAAGUUGCAUCACCUCAUUUUCUCACACUCAUGUUUGCAUGAGUGACAUCCACUUCCCCAAGAUGUCCUAAAUUCUUAGAAAACAGGAGUCCUGGCUUUUUGUUCAGCAACUUAUGAGUGGAUUGGGCCUGCCAUCUGUGCAUAACAGCCAGAGGAGUGCCUUGCCACCUUUGAAAAACAUUCUCAAACUAUCAGCACCUCCUGUUAAUACAUUUAUUACACUACUGUCUCAUCAACCUGGAUUGUUAGCUACAGAUGGUUGUUACAUGUCACAUACAUGAAAACAUGCUCUUUCAUGCUUUCAUCUCUUUUACCUUGUCCCCUAGAUAACAUGUCUUAGGGUCACAUUACUUGGCCUUUCAGAUAGCUCUGCAUCUAGCUUGAGGAGGUCCAGCCCCCUGUAUAUUGUAUGGAUUUAUAUUAGAGUCAAUAUUUCACAUGAACACUGUUCACUUAGUUCCUUAGUCCAGCUCUUUGCAUUUUCCCACAGCAAACAAAAACAAAACACUAUUCUGUCUAUGGAAAAUCAUCUUGAUUUACAUCACAUUUCAGUUUAGCAGGGAAGAAUACUGAAUUAGCUAGAGAGGUUCUAACAGCAAAAUUACCAGCUGGAUAUUGAUUAUGGUUUUAAAGUUUUUCGAAUCUGGAGCCAGGCGCGGUAAGCAAAUGCCUGUAAUUCCCAGCAGCUCAGGGGGCUGAGGCAGGAGGAUCACAAGCUCAAAACCAGCCUCAGCAAUGGUGAGGCGUUAAGCAACUCAGGAAGACCCUGUCUCUAAAUAAAAUUCAAAAGAGGGCUGGGGAUGUGGCUCAGUGGUUGAGUGCCCCUGAGUUCAAACCCUAAUACCAAAAAAAAAAAAAAAGACCAUGGGUAGUGGCAUGCACCCACAGUCCCAGUGUUGUGCCAGCCUAUAGGAGGAAAGACCAGACUCACAGAACGUUGUUUAUUUAGAAGAAAGCAAUGCUAAUGAUCUAUGCAACUUCCAGAAUUUGUGUUUUCUCACAGAAACCUUAUAAGUUCAGUAAUUCCAGUUUUUUUUACCAAGAUAAUGUAAUAUGUUUGAUUUUAUAAGGUGUACAAGUCUCCUAUUUUGGUGCUUUUUAAUAAAGUUUUGAUUGUGGACCAAAAAAAAAAAAAAGAUGGUGUUGGAAGUGAAGGAGAAAUGUGAAGAAGAAAUACUAGGAAAUGAUGUUGACCAAAUUAUAUUAAUAUAUUGUGUUCAUGUAUGAAUAUAUAACAUUGUGUAUAAUUGUAAUGCCUCAGUUAAAAAACAUACAGGGGAGAAAAAGACCAGGUAUGGUGGCAUGUGCCUGUAAUACCAGUGACAAGUUCAUUUUAUAAAACCUCUUUGAUUAAAACAGGUCAGUGGAAUUGUAUAGAAUUAGAAUUAGACCCAGUGAAAAUGAAUAUAUGCUGGAAAUGGCAGGAUUAAUUCAAUAAAAGGUACUGGUACAACCGAAUAGUCAUUUAUAAUAAAAUAUAGAUUUCUGCUUCCCUCAUUCGAAAAUAAACUCCAGAUGAUUCAGAAAUUUAAAUAUAAAAAUUAACCACAGAGGUCUAAAAAGAAAGUAGUCGAAUAAAUACAUUUCUAGUCUUAAAUGGGAAAGGCUUUUCUAUACAUAGCCCUAGCUCAGGAGCCACAUUUUUAUUUAAUAUGUCCCAUAGCAAACAAAACAAAACAAAAAAAAAAAAAACACAUUUGAAAAAACAACAAACUUGGAAAGAUAUUUUUAAUAUGCAUGGCAAGAGAAAAACAUCUCUAAUAAUAAAAACACUUAAUCAGGAAAACUAACCCACUAGAAAGUAAAUAGGCAAAGGAUCAGAGCAGACAACUCACAAUAGUUGCAUUCAGUAACUGCACAAUAGACUUUGCUUAUGACUUCUGGUUUCCUGUCAUGCCUAGAAAGAACUUCCCACUCCAAGAUGCUUAGUGUUUCUGAUGAUAAAAGAAAUGCAGUUGGGCAUGCAUCCUGUAAUCCCAUCGACUCAAGAGGCUGAGGCAGGAGGAUCACAAGUUCAAAGCCAGCCUCAGCAAUUUAGGAAGACCCUGUCUCAAAAUUUAAAAAAGGACUGUACUUCAGUGGAAGAGCACUUGCCUAGAAUAAGAAAGACUCUAAAUUUAAUUCCCAGUAAUGGAAGUAAUGACGGAAGACUUCGCCACCGCCCCCAGUAGUGGGGAUGGAACCCAGAGGUACUAUACCAGUGAGCCACAUUCCCAACCCUUUUCCCUCUUUAUGAAUUGUCUAGGCUGGCCUGGAACUUGCAGUUCUUCUGAGUAUGACACAAAACUUAAAAGCUAGUUUUUUUUUUUUUUUUAAUUGUUGUUUUUGGGUUUUGGUGCUGGGGAUUUAACCCAAGUCCUCAAACAUGCUAGGCAAAUGCUCUACUACUGAGCUACAUCCCCAGCCUAAAGAAGAAUUUUGUUGUUGUUUUGGUUUUGGUAUUGAGGAUUGAACCCAGGGGUGCUCAACUACUGAGCCCCCUUUAUUUCUUUUUCUUUUCUUUCUUUUUUUUUUUUUUUUUUUUUGGUACUGGGGAUUGAACUCAAGGGCACUUGAUCACUUAGCUACAUCCCCAGCCACAUCCCCAUGUUUUAUUUAGAGACAGGGUCUUGUUGAGUUGCUAAAUGCCUCGAUAAAUUGCUGAGGCUGGGGCUGGGGAUGUGGCUCAAGCGGUAGUGCACUCGCCUGGCAUGUGUGCGGCCCUGGUUCGAUCCUCAGCAACACAUACAAAUGAAGAUGUUGUGUCCGCCGAAAACUAAAAAAUAAAUAUUAAAAUUCUCUCCCUCUCUCUCUCCUCUCUCCUCCCUCCACCCCCCUCUCUCUCUCUUAAAAAAAAAAAAAAAUGCUGAGGCUGGCUUUAAACUUGAAAUCCUCCUGCCUCUGCCUCCUGAUCCUCUGGGAUUACAAGCAUGCACCACCGUGCUGGCUAACAGAAGAAAUUUAAUCACAUUCAGAAAGGUUUUUAAACUGAGCAUGGUGGUGCAGGCCUGUAAUCCCUAGCUACUAGGGAAGCUGAGGCAGGAGGAUUCACUUGACCCCAGGAGUUCCAGGCCAGCUUAGGCAACAUAGUGAGAGCUUGUGUCAACCAACAACAAAAUGGAAAAAGAAUAAAGCUCUGUAGGUAUCAAUUAAAGACUAGGAUCUAAUUGGCAAAGAAUCUGAACACACAAGAGGAAAAAAAAACAACAAAUGUCUCUCAGCCAUGAAAAGAUGCUUAAUCUCAACAAAAAUAUAAAUUAAAAUAACAAAAUAUUUUUAAAAACUGGUAACUGUUUACAAAGUAUGAAGAAAGAAAUACUCUCAUUGCAUCUGGUGGUACAAAUUGGUACAUGCUUAAUAGAGGACAAUUUGGCAAUAACUAAUAAAAAUCUAAAAUGUAUGCACUCUAAUCCAGCAACCCUUCUUUAUGUUUAUUCUACAUCCUUGUGAAUAUAGUUUCCUAGAUUCUUCUAUCCUAGAAGAAUCUGAAGGCUCAUUCUCCAAAAAAGCAAAACAAAGAAUUUCUGUUCAGGAAGCCACAUCUUUAUUUAAUAUCUAGGCCAAAUUAAGACAUGAAUAGUCUUUUGAAAAUGGGGAUUAAGUGGGCAUGUGAUUACUGAAUGCUGGGAUCCCCAGCCUUUUCUCCUCACUGGUCUCCUGCCACUCUGGCACCCAAACUUUUACUCACCAACCUGAAAUUCUAGAAGAUUAUUUUCUGAAGCAUCUGAUCUUUCCCAAGAAAUAGGCAUAAGUUAUUUAACAAAUUGCCUAUGCAGAUUAUCGUAAAUUGAAUCCCAAAGUCUAAAAUCUUCUGAGCCAUGUGUGGUGCUAGAGAUAGAACCCAGGACCUCACACCUGCCAGGUGAGCCAUCUGGUAGUCCUGAGCCACACAUCCAACCAGACCCCAUCCUGAUCAUAAGCAGACCUCCAGUGGCUUUCCUGCAUCUGAGAAAAGCCUCUGAACGUGGUUUUAUACAUCAAAACAAACACAAAACCCAACACUUAAUGGACUUUACAAGAAUACGAAAUUUUAAAACAAGUGCUAAUAGAUUAAGUAGAUACUGCAUCCAUGAAGCAACAACACACAUCCUCAUAAUAAACUUCAGAAAAUAAAUCUCUUCAAUACUAAAAACAUGAUAGCAGAAAUAAAGAGAAGGGUUGGAAAAGAAAAUUGAGGAGAUCUCAAAUCACAGAAGAAAAGAAAAAUAGGGAAAUGGAGAAUCAUCCUAAGUGGUUCAGGAUCCAAACCCUGGAGAAGGGAGUCAUCCACAAAGUAUUUAAGAAAAAUUCCCAGAACUGAGGCAUAUUGAUUUACAAAGUGAGCACACCCAAAUACCCAGCAAAAGGGAUCAAAACAGAUCCAUCCCAGAUUGAAACUAAAAAGCUUCUCAGCAAAACAAACAAUCAAUGAGGUGAGUAGAGAGCCUACAUCUCAGGAGCAAAUUUUUACCACUCACACAUCAGAUAGAGCACGAAUCUCUAGGGUAUAUAAAGAACUCAAAAAAAUAAAUAGCCCAAUCAAUUAAUGGGCCAAGGAACUGAACAGACACCUCUAAGAAGAUGAUAUGCAAUCAAUCAACAAAUAUAUGAAAAAAUGUUGAACAUUUCUAGCAAUUAGAGAAAUGCAAAUCAAGUCAAAACCAAGAUUUCAUCUCACUCCAUUCAGAAUGGCAGCUAUUAAGAACACAACAAUAAGUGUCGGCAAGGGGGCUGGGGAUAUGGCUCAAGCGGUAGCACACUCGCCUGGCAUGCAUGCGGCCCGGGUUCAAUCCUCAGCACCACAUACAAACAAAGAUGUUGUGUCCGCCGAAAACUAAAAAAUAAAUAUUAAAAUUCUCUCUUUUAAAAAAAAAAAAGUGUCGGCGAGGAUGUGGAGGAAAGAGCAUACUCAUACAUUGUGGUGGGACUGCAAAUUGGUGCAGCCAAUAUGAAAAGCAGUAAGGAGAUUCCUUGGGAAGCUGGGAAUAGAACCACCAUUUGACCCAGCUAUCCCUCUCCUAGGUCUAUACCCAAAGGACUUAAAAACAGCAUACUACAGGGACACAGCCACAUCAAUGUUUUUAGCAGCACAAUUCACAAUAGCUAAACUGGAACCUACCUAGAUGCCCUUCAGUAGAUGAAUGGAUAAAGAAAAUGUGGCAUAUAUACACAAUGGAAUAUUACUCAGCAAUAAAAGAGAAUAAAAUCAUGGCAUUUGCAGGUUAAUGGAUGGCCUUGGAGAAGAUAAUGCUAAGUGAAGUUAGCCAAUCCCAAAAAACUAAAUGCGGAAUGUUUUCUCUGAUAUAAGGAGGCUGAUUCAUAAAGGGGUUGGGAGGGGGAAAUUCUAGAUAGGGCAGGGGGUGAGAGGGGAAGGGAGCGGGCAUGGGGUUAGAAAUGAUAGUGGAAUGAGGGAAUAUUGCUCAGUUGGUAGAGUGCUUGCCUUGCAUGCAUAAGGCCCUGGGUUCUAAUCCCUAGCACCACAAAAAAACAAAAAAGUGGAAUGAGAUGGAUAUCAUUACCCUGAGUAAAUGUAUGAAGACACGAAUUGUGUGGAUAUACUUUGUAGGGGCUGGGGUUGUAGCUCAAUGUUUGAGCACUUGCCUCGGGUGCAUGAGGCACUGGGUUCAAUCCUCAGCACCACAUUAAAAAAUAAAUAAAUAGGGGCUGGGGAUGUGGCUCAAGCUGUGGCGCGCUCGCCUGGCAUGCGUGCAACCCGGGUUUGAUCCUCAGCACCACAUACAGAGAUGUUGUGUCCGCCAAAAACUAAAAAAUAAAUAAUAAAAAUUUUUUUAAAAAUAAUAAUAAAUAAAUAAAGCUCUAGCAUGCUCGCCUGGCAUGCGGGUGGCCCAGGUUCGAUCCUUAGCACCACAUACAAACAAAGAUGUUGUGUCUGCCGAAAACUAAAAAAUACAUAAUAAAAAAUUCUCUCUCUCUCUAAAAAAAAAAAAAAAAUCUCAAAACAGUUUACCCUCUGGAUACCUUUCUCAGGAAGCUAUGAGUGAGCCUAAUGAGGGCACAUGCCUGUAGUGUCAGCAACUUAGCAAGAUGCUGUCUCAAAAGGGGCUGAGGACAUAGCUCAGUGGUAGAGCACCCUAGGUUCAAUCCUCAGUACCACACACAAAAAAAGUUGCUCUGAAAAUACAGAAAGCUUCCAGAAACAAAUGCAUAGUUUUAUGGGCAGAUGCUUUAGAGGUCAAGAAUGAGAGCUAGAUGUCUGAACAAGAACUAGAGAAACCAGGCUCUACCAAUGCCCAUGUCCCAAUAUACAGAGAAUGCCAGACACCAGCAAUCACAGAACUCUCCCCUCUGCCUGGAUCAUUGCAACAAGUGUCUCCCUUGUGGCCUUCAAAUCCAAAAUUACCCACCCCCAAGAUCCAUCUAAAGCACGUAUCUCAGAGUGAACUGCCCUCCUACAGGCUGGAGACCAGGCUGCCCACUGGCGAUCUUCAGAUGGUACCCUGCCUCCCUGCAGGCCUCUUUCCACACUGCCCCUGGCCUCCCAGCUGCCUCUGGCCACACCAGCUUCUCACCUUGACACCUUUGCACUUGCAGUCCCCUCCAUCCAGUAUGCCCUUCUGCAGAGCCCCCCAGUAUACUGCACAACUGUCUCAGGUGUCAUUUGCCAUCAGGAAGCCUUCUCUGGGCCUCACUGUGCCCUCAUAACACCUUGAGCCUAUUUUUGUCAUUGCACUUAAGUCAGAGUUACCUAUUCCUAGGUCUGUCUUCCCAACAGUGAGCUCCCAAACUGAGACAGCAAGAGCUGGGCCUUGUGGAUCUUUGAAUCCCCAGACCUAGCAAAGCCCCCGGCACCUUGUAAACUGGGUUGGUGUUGCUGAAUACAGGUUGAACAAAACGUCUUGCCUUUGAGAGGGAACAUCAGGCAUUAGCGAUGCCUACUCUCUUCUUUCAAAUUAUUUUUACCUCAUAAGUUAUUUUGGAAUGUUUGAAAUCUUAUUUUUAUAAAGAAAAAAAUUAGACAUUUUUAUAAUAAAAAUCCAUUAUUGACCAGACGUGGUGGCGCACGCCCAUAAUCCUAGCAACUCAGGAGACUGAGACAGGAGGCUUGCAAGUCCAAAGCCAGACUCAGCAACAGGCGCUAAGCAACUCAGUGAGGCCCUAUCUCUACAAUAAAACACAAAAAAAACAGGGCUGAGGAUGUGGCUCAGUGACCCUGAAUUCAAUCCUUAGUACCCAAAAAUAAAAUAAAACAUAAGUACUAGGAAUGUGACUCAGUGAUUAAGUGCCCCUGAGUUCAAUCCCUGGUACCAAAAAAAAAAAAAAAUCUAUUAGUAGAGCUGGCUUAGUGGUAUAGCACUUGUAGUAUGCACAAGACCCUGGGUUGAAUGUCCCAGUACUAAAAUAAAAAAGAAAAGAAAAGAUUAUUUUUUUCCCAUUCAUCUUAUACGUCCACCAACUAUUGAGGCAACCUAGAAAGAAAAAUAGUAAACUAUAGCCAGAUAUAGUAGCACCCACCUGUAAUCCCAGCUACUUGGGAGGCUGAGGCAGGCAGAUGGACAAUUUGAAGUAAGCCUGGUCAAUUUCCUAACAACCUAUCUUGAAAAAAAAAAAAAAAGUUAUUAAACCACUCCCCGCCAUUGCCAUUCGCUCAAGUAACAGUCCUGCUGUGUCUUAUUUUCCAGACUGAGUCAGGUGGCUCCCUCUGCUGGCUUUCAAGGCUAGGAAGGCCAGUGUUCCCCUUUCCAUCUCCUGGUGGGAAGUGUCAAGGGAGAGGCUUUUGGAAAUGACUGAUUCAAUAGUGUCUUUCCUGAAUGGCAAGAGCAUUUAAUGCUCCUUAACUAGAAGUCCUGUCUCACUAGAAACAAGGUUCUAUCUCUUCAGUUCCUAAGACACUGAGCUCUAUUUAUGUCUUCUUUUGAGAUUCAUGCCCCCAACUACAAAUCUCCAGGGAUGUGCCAUUCAGAAAUCCUUUGAUUCAAGUACUGGGAACCCACCACCAUUAGCCUGAAUAAAAAAGGGAUUAUAGGCUCCCACAGCCAGACCCUGGGUUGAAUUUCCCAGUACUGCCAAAAAAAAAUAUAUAUAUAUAUAUAUAUAUAUAUAUAUAUAUAUAUUUAUUUAUUUAUUUAUUUUCGUCUUACACCUCCACCAACUUCCAGAAAUUGAGACAACCAAAAAUAAUAAGUAAAUAAAUAAACUAUAGCCAGAUAUAGUAGCAUCAGCCCCUCCUAAAAGGGUGGUUGUAACCCUGCUGUGAUGAAAUUAGGAGGAAUCACAGACCACACCUAAUGCAACAGAGAAUUCAGACCAGCUUGAGCACUGUGUACCAGGCAUUUCCCAUAUUUCACCUAAAUUAACCUCCCAAAGACCCACAGGUGGUAAAUGCUGUGGUCCUCAUGUAACUGACAGGAGAGACAAGGCCAGGGCAGUGCCUGGGUGUGCGCGGAGGCUUUUCAGUUCUGGGCCCUUUGAUACAGGGUGAUACAGACUAUAGAAGUAAGUAUGAGCCAGACACGAUGAUCCCAGCCACUCAGAGGCUGAGGCAGAAGAGUUGCAAAUUCCAUCCAGCCUCACAAUUUGUAAGACCCUACCUCAAAAUAACAAGUAAAGGGCUGGGGACGUGGCUCAGUGAUAGAGUGCUUCCCUAGCAAUGCACUAGGCCCUGGGUUUAACUCCCAGCACCACAAAAGAUAAAAUCAUAAAUAACUAGAAGUUUGUUUUUGAGACACAGUCUCACUGUACAGCUCACACUGGUCUCAAAUUCACAAGCUUGAGCAAUCCUCCUCCCUCAGCCUCCUGAGUAGCUGCGACUGCAGGUGCUCACCACUUCACCCAGCAGCAGAAGUUGGUGACUUAUAGGGCACUGACACUAUUGAUAUGUUUGGCUUACUGGUGUCUCCACAUGCACACAGCCCUUCAGUGCAGGAAUGUACCCAGGUGCCUGGGCGGGCAGGCAAGAGGAGCAGUUGUCACUAGCUGUGCCCUCAUAUGAUCCAGUGAGUUGUUUUUCAUACAACUUGGUCCAAAAUCCAGUUGACCAGCCCACCUGGUGCUUGGAGAAGAACAAACACCAGUACCAGCUCAUACCUGCAAAGAGGCCUCCUGUGGCCCCAGUGAGACACCUCCCUAAGGGGCUUUCCCCCUUGUUUCAAGUUUCCCUGAGCCACUGUCUUUGGAGCCCAGCCAGAACUUUAGUCCCCCCAUACAGCUGUGCUGCAGUUGGCUGCAUCAUCAAAAUAGGUCUGUAUGGAGGCUGGAAAAAUAAGGACUCCGUUCCAGUUUUUGUUGUGGGUCCAUCCAAGAGUCUCAGAUGACAGCAAAAAUACCACUGGGUUGGAGGGUUAGGCCAUAGAACAUCCUUAAAGAAAUCCAGCUCCAUGCCAGGCGUGAUGGUGCCUGUAAUCCUAGUGACUAGAGAAGCUGAGACAGGAGGAUCACAAGUUCAAGGCCAGUCUCAGCAAUUUAGCAAGACCCUUUGACAAAAUAAAAAAGACUGUGGAUGUGACUCAGUGGUACAGCAUCUCUGGGUUCAAUCCCUAAUGCUAAAUAAAUAAUAAAUUAAAAUUAAAUAAAUAAUUAAAAUUUUUAAAUAUAUAUCCAGCCCCCUUUUCUCAGUCUGCCUUUCAGAGCCUUGUUCAGUUUCCCAAGUCGGCUUUCCAAGCAGCAGGAGAGCAGACCAUAUUUUACCCCAUUCCACAGCCAUAGGGAUGCAUUUGAUAGCCAGGGCUUCUGCAAUCCGUCACCCACUAGCUCUCCUCAGGUUUCACCUACAGAUUAUUCCCCACCUGUGUGUUAGGCUUGGAAGUCCAGAAGGCCCUGUUCCCAGCCGAGCGAGCACUUGUUCACUGGGCCACAGGAGGCCCGAGCGUCUGUGUCUGAACCCACCACUGCACUCUUCUCUGGAAACUGCUCUCCCAGACAGUGACUGUGUUGCCAAACAAAGGGACAGAGCUCUAUGUGGAUCUGCAAGUGUUCAUGUUGUUUAGGCUGACUAANCCUGGUACCAAAAAAAAAAAAAAAUCUAUUAGUAGAGCUGGCUUAGUGGUAUAGCACUUGUAGUAUGCACAAGACCCUGGGUUGAAUGUCCCAGUACUAAAAUAAAAAAGAAAAGAAAAGAUUAUUUUUUUCCCAUUCAUCUUAUACGUCCACCAACUAUUGAGGCAACCUAGAAAGAAAAAUAGUAAACUAUAGCCAGAUAUAGUAGCACCCACCUGUAAUCCCAGCUACUUGGGAGGCUGAGGCAGGCAGAUGGACAAUUUGAAGUAAGCCUGGUCAAUUUCCUAACAACCUAUCUUGAAAAAAAAAAAAAAAGUUAUUAAACCACUCCCCCCCAUUGCCAUUCGCUCAAGUAACAGUCCUGCUGUGUCUUAUUUUCCAGACUGAGUCAGGUGGCUCCCUCUGCUGGCUUUCAAGGCUAGGAAGGCCAGUGUUCCCCUUUCCAUCUCCUGGUGGGAAGUGUCAAGGGAGAGGCUUUUGGAAAUGACUGAUUCAAUAGUGUCUUUCCUGAAUGGCAAGAGCAUUUAAUGCUCCUUAACUAGAAGUCCUGUCUCACUAGAAACAAGGUUCUAUCUCUUCAGUUCCUAAGACACUGAGCUCUAUUUAUGUCUUCUUUUGAGAUUCAUGCCCCCAACUACAAAUCUCCAGGGAUGUGCCAUUCAGAAAUCCUUUGAUUCAAGUACUGGGAACCCACCACCAUUAGCCUGAAUAAAAAAGGGAUUAUAGGCUCCCACAGCCAGACCCUGGGUUGAAUUUCCCAGUACUGCCGAAAAAAAAAAAAAAAAAAAAAAUAUAUAUAUAUAUAUAUAUAUAUAUAUAUAUAUAUAUAUUUAUUUAUUUAUUUUCGUCUUACACCUCCACCAACUUCCAGAAAUUGAGACAACCAAAAAUAAUAAGUAAAUAAAUAAACUAUAGCCAGAUAUAGUAGCAUCAGCCCCUCCUAAAAGGGUGGUUGUAACCCUGCUGUGAUGAAAUUAGGAGGAAUCACAGACCACACCUAAUGCAACAGAGAAUUCAGACCAGCUUGAGCACUGUGUACCAGGCAUUUCCCAUAUUUCACCUAAAUUAACCUCCCAAAGACCCACAGGUGGUAAAUGCUGUGGUCCUCAUGUAACUGACAGGAGAGACAAGGCCAGGGCAGUGCCUGGGUGUGCGCGGAGGCUUUUCAGUUCUGGGCCCUUUGAUACAGGGUGAUACAGACUAUAGAAGUAAGUAUGAGCCAGACACGAUGAUCCCAGCCACUCAGAGGCUGAGGCAGAAGAGUUGCAAAUUCCAUCCAGCCUCACAAUUUGUAAGACCCUACCUCAAAAUAACAAGUAAAGGGCUGGGGACGUGGCUCAGUGAUAGAGUGCUUCCCUAGCAAUGCACUAGGCCCUGGGUUUAACUCCCAGCACCACAAAAGAUAAAAUCAUAAAUAACUAGAAGUUUGUUUUUGAGACACAGUCUCACUGUACAGCUCACACUGGUCUCAAAUUCACAAGCUUGAGCAAUCCUCCUCCCUCAGCCUCCUGAGUAGCUGCGACUGCAGGUGCUCACCACUUCACCCAGCAGCAGAAGUUGGUGACUUAUAGGGCACUGACACUAUUGAUAUGUUUGGCUUACUGGUGUCUCCACAUGCACACAGCCCUUCAGUGCAGGAAUGUACCCAGGUGCCUGGGCGGGCAGGCAAGAGGAGCAGUUGUCACUAGCUGUGCCCUCAUAUGAUCCAGUGAGUUGUUUUUCAUACAACUUGGUCCCAAAUCCAGUUGACCAGCCCACCUGGUGCUUGGAGAAGAACAAACACCAGUACCAGCUCAUACCUGCAAAGAGGCCUCCUGUGGCCCCAGUGAGACACCUCCCUAAGGGGCUUUCCCCCUUGUUUCAAGUUUCCCUGAGCCACUGUCUUUGGAGCCCAGCCAGAACUUUAGUCCCCCCAUACAGCUGUGCUGCAGUUGGCUGCAUCAUCAAAAUAGGUCUGUAUGGAGGCUGGAAAAAUAAGGACUCCGUUCCAGUUUUUGUUGUGGGUCCAUCCAAGAGUCUCAGAUGACAGCAAAAAUACCACUGGGUUGGAGGGUUAGGCCAUAGAACAUCCUUAAAGAAAUCCAGCUCCAUGCCAGGCGUGAUGGCGCCUGUAAUCCUAGUGACUAGAGAAGCUGAGACAGGAGGAUCACAAGUUCAAGGCCAGUCUCAGCAAUUUAGCAAGACCCUUUGACAAAAUAAAAAAGACUGUGGAUGUGACUCAGUGGUACAGCAUCUCUGGGUUCAAUCCCUAAUGCUAAAUAAAUAAUAAAUUAAAAUUAAAUAAAUAAUUAAAAUUUUUAAAUAUAUAUCCAGCCCCCUUUUCUCAGUCUGCCUUUCAGAGCCUUGUUCAGUUUCCCAAGUCGGCUUUCCAAGCAGCAGGAGAGCAGACCAUAUUUUACCCCAUUCCACAGCCAUAGGGAUGCAUUUGAUAGCCAGGGCUUCUGCAAUCCAUCACCCACUAGCUCUCCUCAGGUUUCACCUACAGAUUAUUCCCUACCUGUGUGUUAGGCUUGGAAGUCCAGAAGGCCCUGUUCCCAGCUGAGCAAGCACUUGUUCACUGGGCCACAGGAGGCCCGAGCGUCUGUGUCUGAACCCACCACUGCACUCUUCUCUGGAAACUGCUCUCCCAGACAGUGACUGUGUUGCCAAACAAAGGGACAGAGCUCUAUGUGGAUCUGCAAGUGUUCAUGUUGUUUAGGCUGACUAAUGGUGAAUGGACAAGACUUAAAACUGCUAGUCUAAACAUUUCUUUGUUUUUUGUUUUUGUUUGGUAUUGGGGAUUGAAUCCAGGGGCACUUACCAUUGAGCCACAUCCCCAAAUCUUUUUUUUUUUUUUAGAGACAGGGGUCUCACUGAGUUGCUCAGGGCCUCACUAAAUUGCUGAGGCUGGCUCUGAACUCAAUCCUCCUGCCUCAGCCUCCCGAGCUUCUGGGGUUAUAGAUGUGCACCACAGUGCCUGGCUAAUCUAAACAUUUCUAGUUCAAGUUGACCAUCCCUCCGACCAACCCUUGGUGAAGGUCACAGUACAUUGAGACAGUAUCAUUAUCUUUUUGUGUAUUCUCUGCUUGUUUAUUGCACUGACAUCCCACUAGUGCCCACACAGUGCCCAAGAGGGUCCUGGAUCCCUGCCUGGAGUGCAUUUGGCAAAUCACCACAACAUGGGACAACAGCCCACCUAUGAAAGGUGUCAAGGGGGCCACAGUGGAAAGACAGUACGUUCCCUGAGCCUCCAGAAAGGUGGCUUGUGGCUACACCUUGACCACCCACUCAUGGAGGGGAUCUAAGAAAAGGAGAAAAAGGUGGGCAGGGAUUGGAGUGACCAGCUCUUAGGAGGAAAGUGGUGGUAGCAGAUGAGUGGGGAAAUGUGGGAGCAGUCCAGGCAGUAGGCAGAUGCUAGAAUUAUCAUUCCCCCACCCAUACUGGGGGUUGACCAAGGGCGCUCUACCACUGAUAGACCCAACCUGAUCUUUUCUUAAAAUUGGAAGCCAUCUCACCAUAAAGCCAUGAAAAGAUAAUUUCGGCUUUACUAUAAAUUACUGCAAAUUCUGAACCUGCUUGGAAUGGCUGCCCAUGCCUUGAACUCACCCAUGCCUGGCUCUCUGACCAGAUAGCAGCUCUCUCUGAAACUUUAGUGACGCCUCACAAAUCUUGGCCUUCCCUGGCCAGAUAACGACCCUCUCUGAGGCUCUAAUGACCUUCAUAAAUUCUGAUGUUGGGGCCUGCAAAAAUGUAAACUACCAUUUGUGUUAUGCUCCUCAGAGUUUUGUUAUCUGUAACCCCCCUUUGUGUAACUUUCUGGGCUACAAAGCUGGGCUGCAGGAAAGCUGGGGUGCUGUCUUGUUCCCGUGGUUUUGGGUGGGAGAGGCAGCCCUGCCGGUUGAAAUAAUAAGCUUGCUUUAAUUUGAUUUUAAUUGGAGUCAGUGGUCUUUUCUUCCAUCCUGGUCUAACACCACUAUGCUAUAACUCUAGACCUUUUAUUUGGUAUUUUGACAUAGGGUCUUGAUGAGCUACUGAGGCUGGCCUUGAACUUUUGAUCCUCCUCCCUCAGCCUCCAGAGCUGCUGGUUUACAGGUGUGUACUACCACACCCAGCAGAUUAUUAUUCUUACAAUUCUUUUUUUUUUUUUUAGUGAGAGAGAGAGAGAAUUUUUUAAUAUUUGUUUUUUAGUUUUCAGCGGACACAACAUCUUUUGUUUGUAUGUGGUGCUGAGGAUCGAACCCGGGCUGCACGCAUGCCAGGUGAGCGCUCUAUGGCUUGAGCCACAUCCCCAGCUCAACACAUUAUUAUUCUUUAUGAGUUAUAUACAGACAUCUUUACUACAAUUGAGAUCCUCAGUGUCCACAGAGGCCUGUAUGUUUAAAGGCUAGUCCCUAGCUAAGUGCUAUUGGGAGGGGGUAGAGAUUUUGAGAGGUGGGGCCUAGUGGGAGGGCUGCUGGUCAUUGGGGACAUGCCCUGGAAGAGUAUAGUAAGGCCCUAGCUUUCCCUUUUUCUCUUUUGACUUCUAGCCAUGAGGUGAAAGGUUUGCCUCACCAUGAAAUGCUGCAUGGAGUGCUGCCUUGCCACAGGCCCAACCGACCAUACACAGAAACCCCUGAAACUGUGAGCCAAAUAAACCAUUUGUUCUCUUUACAAGUUGCUAAUUUGUCCCAGUAAUGGGAAGCUAACACAAUAUUCUUUUGUAUGCAUAGAAUAUCCACUACUGAGCUACCCCCAGCCCUAAACAGUACUGUUGAAUGUUGACUAAAAUGGAGAUUGGGUUGAUUUCAUUUCUAAAUGAAAUAGUUGUUGACAACUAUUGGAUUUGGAUUCAGAGGCAGCAUGCUGCUUGCUAUUUAGUGCUGCUCAGAAUACUACACUGCAAAGUAGCUUGGGAAGUGUUAGAUUGGCUCUUGCUACGUGUCCCUAGCCUCCUGAAGGGUGGAUGUAGUAUUUCGAUUUGCCACAUCAUAUUAACUGGGACACAGUCAGUUCAGUGAAAUGCUCACAUCAUGCAUAUCUACUCUGACUUCAGAGAAGGAACAAGGGGCUUGGGAUGUGUAGAAGUUCCCAGUAACUUAUUCUUGCUCAGGUCAACUUAUGGCACUUCUACCCAGCCAAUCUGUCCUCAGGUGAAAGAAUUUGGAGUCCCAUUAAGACAGAGAUGAAACCUUAGCCAACCGCCCUAUCCCUACCCGCAUUUUACAGAUGAGGAAACCAAGGCUUCCAGAGAAGCCCCAAAGUCAGUAGAGGAAAAAGCAGGGACAAAAAAGCAAACCCCUACCACCUCACCCAAGGUGGCAGGAAGGCAGCAGAAGAGACAGCUGUCCUGGAUCUUCAAGGAGGGAUGGUUUCCAAGCAAGAGGUAUGAGCCAGCAGAAGACUGGGCAGGGGAACCCUUUAUUGGAGGGUGAGGAGGUGAGGGCAGAGGCUCAUGGAACUAGUCAUGGAAGACCCACCAGGGCCAACCUGGAGGAUUGUCAGAUUCAUGACAAGGCAGCCAGACCAAGGUGCCCACCAUCUGGUCCAUUGGCCACAAGGCAGAUUCCUGACUGCCAAGGUGACCCUUGCCUCAUGUAAACAGAAAAGAACUAUCAGCUGGGCUAGCCAGGGACAUCAGACCUGCUCCACACUCUGCAGUUUCACUUGCUGACCACUCCCACCACUACCCUGGGUUAUCUAAGGAUAAACACCCGCUGCCCCUGCCUGCGCACACCCCCCUCCCCCAGACACUUAUCAGGGCAGCUGGACCUGUUCUUCCACUGGCUGACAUGGAGACUGUCCUGGGGUGGGUCUCAGCACAGAGGCCUCUGCCCUGUGGUUGGCCAAGACAACAAAGGGAGUCCCAUACAAGCAGAGCCAGCUGAUGAGUGGCCACCACCAUUCUGAGGUCCUAAGAGAUUCUAGGGAGGCCAGUAGAGGUGGGAGUUGAGGAAGGUGCCUAGCUAGCUCUCUCCAGCUUAAGACUGCUUGAUGUAAAUUAUACUUUUUUUUUUUUUUUUUUUUUACCCUCCAGGCUUUCUUCUUUCAAAAAAACUGCUUCUAGGCAGAAGGACUGCUGGAGACCAGCCUGGGCAACAUGGUGAGACCCCCAUCUCAAAUAAAUAAUUAAAAUUAAAAAUAGGAGGUUUGGGUUGUAGCUCAGAAGUAGUAUACUUGCCUCCAAGCUUAAGGUCCUGGGUUAAUUCCCAGCACUAAAAGCAAACAAGCUUAGCUGGGCACACACCUGUACUCCCAGCCACUCCGCUUGCCUCGGGAGGCUGAGGCAGGAGGAUCACGAGUUCAAAGCCAGGCUCAGCAACUUCGUGAGGCCCUAAGAAACUCUGUGAGACCCUAUCUCUAAAUAUUUUAAAAGGUCUGGGGAUGCGGCCAAGUGGUUAAGUGCCCAUAGGGUCAAUCCCUGGUACCAAAAUAAAUACAUAAAUAGAAGCUGGGGUCAGACCUGUAAUCUCAGAACUCAGGAGGCCAAGGCAGAGGAUCCCAAAUUCAAGGCCAGCCUCAGCAACUUGUGGAGACCAGGUCUCCAAAAGUAAAAAGAGCUGGAUCGUGUCUGUGGUAGAGCAUCCCGGUUCAAUCCCCAGGACCCCAAAUCAAAUAACAGAAAGUCGUUUUCUUCUCUUACAAGUGCAGACAGCUACCCAGGGGAAUGCUGGAAGAUUUGAGGUGGAUUCUCAGACGGCAGCCGCCCCGACGGCCCAGUCCUGCCGUUGGAAGGGGAGGAAGUUCGCAGUCGGAGGCUACAAACCCCCAGUUAACGGACCUGCAGGCGGCGCCCGGCGCCUCUGCGCGGAAGGGUUCCUCCCGCGGCGGGCGGGCGGGGCGCGCUCCUUCCGCUGGCGGCGACGGCCGUGGGCGAGCGCAGGGAGGGGAGGGUCCACAGACCGGCGGGAGGAGGGCACCUCCUUUCCGCGCGCCCCGGGGUGGGAGCGCCGAGGAGCUGCUCUGAGCGGUGGGUGCGGGCCGUCAGAGCCCAGGGUGUGGCCCCGCCGGGCUUGCGCCGUCCUUCCUCUCUCAUGCCCAUUUCUUUUACACACUAUUUUUGUGCCGGGGACUGGGGACGAAACCCGGCAUCAGACAUGCGAAGCAGGCUGCUACCACUGAGCUCCAGCCGCCCCUGUAUUCCUCAUAAAUGGCCAGGUCACCUGGGCCUCUCCGCGGGAGGGAGGGCAGGGCCAGCAUGGCUUCCUAGGUCUGAAGCAGCCAGGUCAGGCGUGGAGAUGGGCACAGAGUGGGCUGGAGCUGUGGUUAUUGGGAACAUGGGGCUCAAGCUGAUGAAGGCAGGUGACCAGUUUAAUGACCCCAGUGUUGGGUAAACAAAUCUGUGGAGCAUCCAGGUGGAUGGGCUUCAGUAAACAGGAUGCUGGGAGUGAGGGCAGGAACACACUUACAAGGGAUGCUUAGGAACGGAAGGGAACUGGGCAAUAUUGUAGAGUCAAAGAGCCCAGGAACUGGGAGGGCAAGAGACCUGUGAGCGGUGGCAGGACCCUUCUCCUGUGGCCCUCUCAACCCCUUGGCUUCUGGUGGAAGCCCAUCUGUGUUGGGGCCUGCCUUCAGUCAGACAGCAGAGCAGGCACAAGCCCCUGGCCUGGGCAAACCAUGAAACUGAACAAGGACAUUCAAUGGGAGUUCCCAGGCAAGGAGCAUGUGGGUAGAUACCCCAGCAGAGAGAAGGGAGAGGUGGAAUGAGCUGGGUGGCAGCCCCCUGUGGUCUGCCACCUGAAGAGGGACCUCUGUUGUGUGUCCCAGUGAUGCUGCCGGUUAUGGGUAAGGAAUUCUGGUUUCCCACCUGUUGGAAGUUUGAACAUAAGAGAAGCACAGGGAGGCCAGCUUAUAAAGCAGGGUUUGUUUAAAAAGGAGUAACAUAGACUCCUGCAAAGGAGAAGGGGCCAUAGCUGGUAUCCGAAGAAGCGAGGUUUUCUGCCCUUUUUAUGUGUCCCAGGCUCCCUUGGUUCUCCUGCCCUCUUCCCCUUCUCUUUCUCCCUCCAGCGACUAGGCCCAGGAAUGUUGGGUGGGAGGGCCAAAGGGGGGAAACCCGUGGGCUGAAGGGGGAAGGGCAGGAUGUGCCGUGCAGCCCAGGACACGUGAACAACCUUAGAGCUCCCUGUAGAGAGGGGCAAUGCCUGGGACAGGUUACCUUGGCAACAGGUGGGAGCAGGGGCAGGUUCUUGAUGAGGGUGGAGGAAGGGCUCUGAGGGAAUUAACAUUUCAGUCCCUCUGGGGACUGUCUCCAACUUCUGGGACUCACUCACAAUUGGCCUCCUUGAUCUGACCUGACUCAAUUUACCUGUCUAUACUGACUGCCUUUCUAAUUCUGGCUUCACCAGAAGUCUGGGACUUUCUACAACAGGAGAUGGGCAGUUGAGAAAGGAAUGUGGAACAGACUCAGUUCAGCAAGAAUCAGCAGAAGAUUGCCACAGUACAGGGCCUCAGGGCCUAAGAUGGCAGGUGGACCCCUGAGCAUGAAGAGAAAGAGCAUUUCCAAGGAAAAUUCUACUUGUCUUGGCAGCCAUCAGACUAUGGGGGGUGAGGGUGAGGGGUGAGCCAAGGAUGACUCAGAAGGUUUGGAAGGGUCAAGGGUAAAUGGCAGUAUUCUGGAACAGUUUAGUGGUUGCCAGCAGUUUACUUCAGGUAUAGGUCACCUUCUCCCAUUCUGUUAGGAGAACCUCAGUGCCUCUAACCUCUGAGUACCCCCUGCAUGCCAGGUACUGAGGGCUUCCCUGGGAUGAGCUUAUGACCUCUCUCCACAUGCCUGCCAUCAGCACAGACAGGCUGAGCAGUUUGUUCAAAGCUGCAUAGUCACAAGUUGACUCCAGACCUUGUUUCCCCCACACCCCCAUGGUUCCUUUUGAAAUCAGGGCCUUGCACAUGGGAGGCACACUUCUUUCUGAAGUAUAAGCCAUGAAUCACUGCUCUUCCUAUAUGUGGUAAUUACAACUUGAUUCUAAACAUUUCUCCAAAGCUUUUGAUAAACAUCAACUUUUUUUUUUUCUUACAGUGCCAGAGGUGGAACUCAAGGACUAGUGCAUGCUAGGCAAAUCUCUACCGGUGAUCUACAUUCCCAGGUCUCAACCUGAAUUUUUUUCUUUUUUUUUUUUUUUCGUGUGUGUGUAUGUGGUGCUGGGGAUUGAACCCAUGGCCUUGUGCAUGUGAAGCAAGCACUCUACCAACUGAGCUAUAUCCCCAGUCCCCUGAAUUUUUUUUCCCCCUCGUUUUCAGUACUGGAGAUUGAACCCAGGGGCACUUUACCACUGAGCCACAUCCCCAGUCCUAUUUAUUUGUUUAUCUGUGGUGCUGGGGAUUGAACCCAGGGCCUUGUGCAUGAAAGGCAGACACUCUACAACUGAGCUAUAUCCCCAGCCCUCCCAGUCCUUUUUGUUGGGUGCAGAGCAGGCUGAAUUCUGUUGUCUGCUGGGCAGGCUGAACAGAUGUUGGCUGCAAGAUAGCCCACGCACUCAAACCCCCCUCUAUCUGGUCCUUUAUCACCUGUUUUCCUCAAGUCUGAACAUUCAACCCUGCUUAAGGCUGAACACUUAACCCCCCCUGCAGACCCAGAGGCCCCAUUAGAUUUGGGCUAUAAAAACUCCCUCCUACCAGGCCCUCCUCUCUCUCCCUCUCUCUCUUGCUCUUUCUCUCUUGCUCUUUAUCUUUCUUACGCGCGCUCUCUCUCUCUUGCUCUUGCUCUCUCCCUGUUCAUCUCUUCUCUUUUCUCUCUCUUUCCUUCUUUCCUUUCUCUUUGUUGCACUGCUGCAAUAAAGAUCUUUUGGUUGCUCCGAGUGUUGUGGUCACUUUCCUUUCAUUGGUGCCGAAACCUGGGAGAGGGUUAAAACCCACUUUUGGGGGGCCUGGAGAUGUGGCUCAGUGGCAGAGCGCUUGCCUAGCAUGCAUGAGGCACUGGGUUCUAUCCUCAGCACCAUGUUAAAAAUAAAUAAAUAAGUAAAGAUAUUUAAAAAAAAAAAAACCCACUUUUGGGUCCCUCUUCCUUCGGAAGUGCCACUGACCGGAUGACCUGAACCCAGGCCUGAACCCAUUUUCUCGACUGCUAGAACUCCAUCCACCACCGACCUUCAAUUGGUGAGUUUCCCCUUCCUGGAGUCCUAAACCCAAUGGUGGUGUCAGGAGGAUUUGGCCUUGAUUGUCUGGCAAACCUCUUUGCCCACCUGCGGGGAGGAAAACACCCCACCACAGCCUUUAAGGCUACGGUGGCCCUCAGGGACUCCUUCCUAGGGCAGAAUAGACUCCUGGGUUCAAAAUUAUUCCCUUCCCUUCCCAGCUGUUAGUUACCAGCAUAGGCUUUGUAGGUCUCCCUCGAAGGACUGUGUAACCUCCAGGGACACAUAACAGAGAACUGAACAUCACAGUCCACCCAGACCUUCACCAUCUCUGUGGCUCUCCUAAAAUCCUAGUCCUCACACCUUCAAGACUCGGCUGCUAGAGAGUACCUUACCCUCCCCUUCCUCUCUCUUUCCCUGUCUCUCUCUUUCCCCUCUUUCCGGCCCUGCAAGUCUCUGGCCUCUCCAGGAGGGGUCCCAAAAAGAAAAGCCUUGGGCAAGGUCUCCCACGGCUCCAGCUCCAUCCAGGACGAGAGCUUCGACUGUCAGGAUUCGGUGAUGACCAAUCUCUGCAGCUCGAACCUGCCACUAAGACACUCCUGAUUUUUGGCUCUAGCGGGGACGCCCCUUUUGCCAAUAAAUCAGUUUCCUCCUUCUCUCUUAUACUACGGUUGCGUCUCCUUCCUUCUCCUCUAUACCAAGUUUGCAUCCCCUUCCCUCCUCCUUAUACUACUUUGCGACACGGGUAAUGUGUCCUCUCUGCCGGUCGACUCUCCCCUACAAUGCCUCUUGGAUAACCUCAAAACCCUCUCCUUGACACCAGACAUCAAACCCCCAAAAUUGAUCAAAUAUAGCACCCAGGCCUGGCCCACUUAUCCCUUAGACAACCAAAGCAGAUGGCCCCCCUUUUGGGUCCCUGGAUCCCUCCAUUCUAAGGGAUCUCUACAAUUACUGUGAGCAUUCGAAAAAAUGGGUAAAAAGCUGCUAUAUCAAAGCUUUCUUCUUGCUUGUGCUCUCUGCACCUCUGCAAAUUCUUCUAGCUUGCAAACCAACACCCACAACCACUGAUCCCCAAUCUCCUCUUCCUCCGGACUCAUCCACUACUUUUGACCCUCCUGAUGAAUUUCCACCCUAUCGCCCGGCUCAAAUAGGUCCUCACCCUCAACCUUCUGCCCCAGCCCCUCCACUGUCUCCCCCACCUGAACAACCUGACUUCUCCUCUCCACUCACUAGAUCAAAAACCUAAACAACCGUCUUUCCUCAAAACAUUGCCUCUUUUCUGAGGUAGCAAGUACUGAAGGAAUCCCUCUACCCAACACUUUUUAUUUUUAAAUUUUAUUUAUUUAUUUACUUACUUAAAAUACUUUUUAGUUGUCAAUGUGAAGCCAGAUUUAAAGAUAGAUAGUCAGUGUAGAUAGAUAAAUUGAGUCAAAAGAACUAGGAGGACAAUUUUAAGUUACUCUGAGAAGUUGGACACUGUCCCCUGAGGGAUCUUAUGUAGAACCUGCCCCUGCUCCAACCUGUUGCCAGGGUAACCUGUCCCAGGAAUUGCCCCUCCCUCCAGGGAACUCUAGGGUUGUUAAAGUGUCCUUGUCUACUCCACCUGCCCUUCCCCCUUCAGCCCACCUGGUUCCCACCUUUUGGCCAUCCCACCCAGCACUCCUGGGCCUAGUCACCACCUCCACAAGAAGGAGAAAGAUAAAAGGGAAAAAGGCAGGAGAACAAAGGAAUCCUAGGAUAUAUAAAAAGGGCAGAACACCUCGUUUCUUGGGAUACCAGCUAUGGCCCCUUCUCCCUUGCAGGAGAAGUCUAUGUUACCCCUUUUUAAAUAAACCCUGCUUCAUAUGCUUUCCUAGGUGUGCUUCUUUAAUGUUCAAACUUCAACAUGUGGGGAAGCAGGACUCCUCACUCUCACCAAUAACCAGUGGUAUCAAAUGAACCUUUAUUUUGUUUAUAUACAGUGCUGAGAACCAAACCCAGUGCCUCACACAUGCUAGGCAAGUGCUCUACCACUGAGCCACAACCCCAGCUCAGUCCAUUUUAUUUUGAGACAGGGUCUUAAGUUGCUUAGGGCCUCCCUAAAUUGCUGAAGCUGGCUUUGAACUUAUGAUCCUCCUACCUUAGCCUCCAAAGUCCCUGGGAUUACAGGGAUGUACCAUCACAAUGGGCUCCUAAGCAUCAAUUUUUAAUUUUUAUUGUACCAGGAAUUGAGAGACACUUUGGUACCAGAGGUCAUUAACCACAUCUCCAGUCCUUUUUAUUUAUUUUAGAGUCUUACUACAUGCUUAGGGUCUCCCUAAAUUGCUGAGGCUGGCUUUGAACUUGUGAUCCUCCUGCCUCAGCCUCCCAAGCCAUUAGAAUUACAGGUGUGUGCCACCACACCUGGUAACAUCAAUUUUUAGAAAACUGUUUUGUGAGGUACAGUUGACAAGCAAUAAACUGAGUAUGUUUAAAGCAUAGUUUUUUUUUU